AGGAUUCUUUAACGUCACCUAAUGUUUCUUUGGCUGCAAAUGGCAAUCCUUUGACUCACGCGAAUCUUGGAAAGUUGCCGGCAUUUCCCGAUGAUUGUUUGCCACCUAACUCAUCUGCAGAUGAUGAUUGAGAAGCCAUUGCGGAUCGCGAAGCAAAUGAGAUACUUUCUUCAGAAUGUUUGCCUGGAGUAUCAAAACUUUCUUUGGAGGAUAGUAAAGCCGAAGCCCCUAAGAGACGCGGAAGGGGGACAUUUUCUUAUAAAAGAAGUGAUUUGUACAGUGAUCACUCUCUGACAU